GCCGGAAAAACACUGUAGCUGCCGGAAAAAUUCAAAGUUGUCGGAAUUGAAAAGUAAAAAUACGGAUAGGCUCGGAAUUCAAGGGUGAGCAAACUGUCCUGAAGAAAUUCUGGCCGGAAAGUACAGUAGCUGCCGGAAAAGUCACUGUAGGUUGCCGGAAAAAAAUCAAAGUUGUCGGAAUCGAACAAAAAAUGGAUGGGUAGGGUCGGAAUUAUAUUCCGACUAAACUGUCCUUCUGGAGCGAUCGGAAAAAGUGGCCGGAAAGGCAAAGUUGUCGGAAUCGAACAAAAAAUGGAUGGGUAGGGUCGGAAUUAUAUUCCGACUAAACUGUCCUUCUGGAGCGAUCGGAAAAAGUGGCCGAAAAGGCCCUCACGCGCCGGCGCGUGGGCGUCACGCGCAGAGGGUCCUGCCGCGCGUGGGGGCGCGUGAAGCGUCGGUUUCCGGUGAUUUUUUCUGGGGUUGNNN
rnacentral:lncRNA from 1 species